rnacentral:rRNA from 1 species
GACGAACGCUGGCGGCGUGCUUAACACAUGCAAGUCGAACGAUGAAGCAGAGCUUGCUCUGCGGAUUAGUGGCGAACGGGUGAGUAACACGUGAGUAACCUGCCCUUGACUCUGGGAUAAGCGUUGGAAACGACGUCUAAUACCGGAUACGACCCUCGGAGGCAUCUCCAGGGGGUGAAAGAAUUUCGGUCAAGGAUGGACUCGCGGCCUAUCAGCUUGUUGGUGAGGUAAUAGCUCACCAAGGCGACGACGGGUAGCCGGCCUGAGAGGGUGACCGGCCACACUGGGACUGAGACACGGCCCAGACUCCUACGGGUGGCAG